rnacentral:rRNA from 1 species
GAUGAACGCUGGCGGCAGGCCUAACACAUGCAAGUCGAACGAGUGGCGGACGGGUGAGUCAUGUCUGGGAAACUGCCUGCUGGAGGGGGAUAACUACUGGAAACGGUAGCUAAUACCGCAUACCAUCGGAUGUGCCCAGAUGGGAUUAGCUAGUAGGUGGGGUAACGGUACACCUAGGCGACGAUCCCUAGCUGGUCUGAGAGGAUGACCAGCCACACGGGAACUGCGACGCGGUCCAGACUCCUACGGUAGGCAGCAGUGGGGAAUAGUGCGCAGUGGGCGCAAGCCUGAUGCAGCCGUGCCGAGUGUAUGAAGAAGGCCUUGGGGUUGUAAAGUACUUUCAGCGGGGAGGCGUUACCCGCAGAAGAAGCACCGGCUAACUCCGUGCCAGCAGCCGCGGUAAUAC